UCUCAGAUGAAAAUGGCGGACUCUCCCAAAUUGUUCGAGUGAAAGUGAUUGUACUUUGAGAACAACAAUCAUCCAUACAGCCAGUGAGAAUUGCAGGAAGCUAUAGGUUGAAAAGAUACUUGGCAGAAGGAUCACAGCCCGAGGGACAUUUGAGUAUUUAAUUAGUUGGAGAGGCUACAACAAAUCCUGGGAUACCUGGGAGCCUGAAGAAAAUCUUGGCGCUUGUAUUAAAUUAAUCCAAGCAUUUGAUAAAGCUCUACAUCAGGAUAACGGGGAUAAUUUUGCUCAUAAACCUAAGAUGAAGGGAGGAGGGGCAGACGGUGAAAGCAAAACAGACACAAAGACUGUGAAGCCAAAGGAAACGGCAAAUACUACGACAGGUAGCGCUAAGGUCAAAGGUUCACCAGUAUCUGCAAAACAGAAAACUCCUAAAAAUACAGGAGGUGUGACUAAGGCAAACACUGCCAACAAAAAGGCAGAAGAAGGAAAAAAGCUAAACAAAAGCUUGAGUAAAGAUAAAAACACUAUCAAGGAUAAUGCUAAGAAAUUAAAGAAAACAAAUGUUGCAAAAAUUAGUGUUGCUAAAAAGAAGAUUUCUAUAGCCAAACAGGGUGGAAAAUCGGGAAAGGGUACUAAAAUGACAGUCACUAUGGUAAAUGGGAAACAAAAAAGCUCGAAGGCUUCUAAAAAUGAUAACACUAAAAAAGAAGUGAAGAAGAAGCAAACUAAAAAGUCUGAACCAGCUGAUGUAAAAAAGCCUACACCCAAACCUGACUUUAGCAAUCUCAUUAAAUUAUUGGGUUCCAAACCUUUGACUAACUCAUCUGGCACUAUAUUAGUGAAGCCAGUGAAUAAUAAGACAAUUCACAAAACAAGCUUGCAAAAUAAGAUACGGAAAGGCUUAAAAAUCAAACCAUUGAAUGGACCAAAGUUUAAAAAUGGAAAAGCGAGUGUAAGCUCUAGCAAGAAAAAGGUGAAUGAUGGUGAUGAUGGAGAGGAUUCAUCAUCAUAUACUUCAGUCUCGUCAAUGUCUUAUGACUCAGAAGAUUCAGAUUCGUUUUACACAUUAUCGCCACCUGCGAAAAAAGUAAAACACAACAAAGGAUUAGAGAACAAAUCGAGCACCAAAAACAAAGGUGCCGAGAACAGUACUGUUAAAACAAAAAAGACUGAUGUAAAUGUAAAGACUGGUGAAAAGCCCAAAACACAAUCGCAACCUAAUGUUGACUCUCCUAGUACAAGUGAUGCUAAGGAGAGUUCAAGCUCUAGAAGAGCAAAGAAAAAGACACAAUCAGUAGAGGACUUCAUAGCCGAAACACUUGCCAAACUCGACCCUAAAUCAAAGAGUGCCCAAAAACUUAAGUCAGAGUUGUAUCACCUUACACAAGAUGAAAUGAAGGAGUUGAAAUCACCAUCAAAAAGCAAAGAACGGACUACUAAAACAUCUGAUGCUAAAAAUAUCAGGUCAGAUUUAUCGACAGAAUUUGCAAAGAAAAAGGUGAAAAAGAUUAAACGGGUUAAAAAGAAUAAUGAUCUCAAUGUUUCAUCACCAAAGAAACAGAAAAACACUGCUCAAAAUUCACCACAAAAAGUGAAGAAAAAAUCUGGAUUAUUUAAAAGUAUUGCAACUACGUCAGCGGGGCAGCAACGCAUGAAGAUGCUGAGCAACUGGAACCCAUCUAAGAAUUCAUCAUCUAAGAUCGUCAAACCAGUUCCACAGCUGUAUGCAUCUGCCUUUGCCCCUCCCAGCAGUUACAAAACACCACCAUCCUCACCCACAUCCCUCAGUCUCAUGGGGUCUGCAGCAUCCCUUAGGCUGGCAGGAUCCCGCUCCACCACCCCGUCUAGUCGCCCAGGGACCCCUAGCCCCCAGAAAGCCAUUAAUACUAUACUCCAGGAUCUCCCAAUGCAAGUGCGGCAGGGUCUCCCGCCUAAUGUAUCCAUGAUACCCAUGAUUCCUACAAGUCCCUCGGCUGCAUCAUAUCGUGCUAUCAUAGCAACCAAUCAGAAACUUCUCGCUAGUAAAGCAGUAAAACGUAAAUUUGAUGAGGACGAGGAAUAUGAUGAGCCAUCUGAGAGACGAUUGAGCGUGCGGCAGAGUGAGAGCUCCUUCAAGUACAAAGAUAUUGUCGUUAAAAAGUGCUCCAACUAUACUCAGAUCUGGCUGUUUACACAGACCCAAACAAAGAAUGCUUUAAAUCCAAAAGUCCUACAAGAGAUCCGUACAGCACUACACAACGCAAGGUUUGAUGACAGUAAGCUUGUGCUGCUCAGUGGCUCAGGAAGUGUGUUCUGCUCAGGGGUAGACCUGCCCUAUAUCACCCAGGCAACAGAUAGACGCAGUGCAGCCAAGCAAAUGGUCGAUUCUCUCAGGGAUUUUAUUAGUGCUUUGAUAGCAUUCCCAAAGCCGAUAGUAGCUGCUGUUAAUGGCCCUGCAGUUGGUCUAGGUGUUGGUAUAUUACCAUUAUGUGACAUUGUGUUGGCCAGUGACAAGGCCUCCUUCUAUACGCCCUACUCGAGGCUAAAUCAAACACCUGAGGCAUGUGCCUCUUAUACUUUGCCUCAGGUUAUAGGACUUGCCACGGCCAAUGAGAUGCUGCUAGGAGGACGUAAACUGACUGCAAUCGAGGCAUAUCAGAUAGGGCUGGUCUCCCAAGUGUUCUGGCCUACUAGCAUGAUGCAGGAAGUAAUUCCCAGGGUACAAAACAUGGCCAUGUGCUCAGCCAAGGCCAUGGAAUGCAGUAAGUUAUUAAUACGAAGCCACCAGAAAGCCAAGCUUGAAUACACAAAUGAGACAGAGUGCAACAUGCUGCUAGAAAGAUGGUCCUCUAAUGAAUGCUACAAGGCUAUGAACACUUAUCUCCUGCAAGAGCAAGAUAUGCUGAUAUGAGAGUGUCCUCUAAUAAAAUAUCAUUUGUGCAUGUUGUGUGUAAUACUUGUACAAUUUGCACAGAUUUAUUAUUGCGUUAUUUAAACGUUAAAAUCAUGCCUGUCCUGGUUAAAGGAUCGUGUCCAAUUACCAAGACUUGUAGAAAACUAAAUUAAGUCUGAUUUGUUUUGUUCCCUUCAACUUAUAUUAUGAAAUUCUUCAAGUGUUGAUUAAUAUUUCAAUUGCAUAUAAAUUAAAAAAUCAAUUCUUCAUUAGUUAAAUCAUUAUAUGCUCCCUCCCUUAAUGAAAUUUAUUCUGUUUUUCCACAAGUGUCAAUAAUUUCACACCAUCCCUAAGUUUUCUGUAGGUGGAGUAUAAAUCCUUAUUUGUGUAUUUAUAGAUGGGGUAACAUCAUUUAGUUCAACAUGAAUCUUAAAUUAUUCACCCAAUCAAAAUAAGGUUUGUUAAACAAUAAUUCAAUACUAUCCAACACGUCCAUUGGAUGCUGCAUUGAGAAAAAAAUCCAUUAUGUUAAGAUACCUCCGAUUGAUAACAUUUCUUACAUUACUUUAUGUGGACUUGUGUGUUUCAAGGAUUUCAAAUGAAAAUUAAUGAGCCUGUAAAAUGGAAGCACGAUAGACCCUUGAGUCGAUCUCAAAGUCUCACCAAUUA
rnacentral:misc_RNA from 1 species